rnacentral:rRNA from 1 species
CCUACGGGUGGCAGCAGUGAGGAAUAUUGGUCAAUGGUCGAGAGUCUGAACCAGCCAAGCCGCGUGAAGGAUGAAUGUCCUAUGUGUUGUAAACUUCUUUUAUAUGGGAAUAAAAUGUUGCACGCGUGCGCUUUUGUGUGUACCUUAUGAAUAAGGAUCGGCUAACUCCGUGCCAGCAGCCGCGGUAAUACGGAGGGUCCAAGCGUUAUCCGGAUUUAGUGGGUGUAAAGGGAGCGUAGGUGGUGUGUCAAGUCAGUUGUGAAAUUUUGCGGCUAAACCGGAAAAGUGCAGUGGAAACUGGCAGACUUGAGUACAGGAGAGGUGGGCGGAAUUCGUGGUGUAGCGGUGAAAUGCGUAGAUAUCAGGAAGAACGCCGAUGGCGAAGGCAGUUCACUGGACUGCAACUGACACUGAGGCUCGAAAGUGUGGGGAGCAAACAGGAUUAGAUACCCCGGUAGUC